UACGAAGGGGGGCUAGCGUUGUUCGGAAUUACUGGGCGUAAAGCGCACGUAGGCGGAUUGUUAAGUCAGAGGUGAAAAUCCCCGGAGCUCAACUUCGGAACUGCCUUUGAUACUGGCAAUCUAGAGUCCGGAAGAGGUUAGUGGAAUUCCCCAGUGUAGAGGUGAAAAUUCGUAGAUAUUGGGAAGAACACCAGUGGGCGAAGGCGGCUAACUGGUCCGGUACUGACGCUGAGGUGCGAAAGCGUGGGGGAGCAAACAGG
rnacentral:rRNA from 1 species